UAACAAGGUUUCGGUAGGUGAACCUGCGGAAGGAUCAUUACCUAGAGUUGUAGGCUUUGCCUGCUAUCUCUUACCCAUGUCUUUACAGUACCUUCGUUUCCUCGGCGGGUUCGCCCGCCGAUUGGACAAAUUUAAACCCUUUGCAGUUGCAAUCAGCGUCUGAAAAAACAUAAUAGUUACAACUUUCAACAACGGAUCUCUUGGUUCUGGCAUCGAUGAAGAACGCAGCGAAAUGCGAUAAGUAGUGUGAAUUGCAGAAUUCAGUGAAUCAUCGAAUCUUUGAACGCACAUUGCGCCCCUUGGUAUUCCAUGGGGCAUGCCUGUUCGAGCGUCAUUUGUACCUUCAAGCUUUGCUUGGUGUUGGGUGUUUGUCUCGCCUCUGCGUGUAGACUCGCCUCAAAACAAUUGGCAGCCGGCGUAUUGAUUUCGGAGCGCAGUACAUCUCGCGCUUUGCACUCAUAACGACGACGAUCCAAAAGUACAUUUUUACACUCUUGACCUCGGAUCAGGUAGGGAUACCCGCUGAACUUAAGCAUAUCAAUAAGCGGAGGAAAAGAAACCAACAGGGAUUGCCCUAGUAACGGCGAGUGAAGCGGCAACAGCUCAAAUUUGAAAUCUGGCGUCUUUGGCGUCCGAGUUGUAAUUUGCAGAGGGCGCUUUGGCAUUGGCAGCGGUCCAAGUUCCUUGGAACAGGACGUCACAGAGGGUGAGAAUCCCGUACGUGGUCGCUAGCCUUUACCGUGUAAAGCCCCUUCGACGAGUCGAGUUGUUUGGGAAUGCAGCUCUAAAUGGGAGGUAAAUUUCUUCUAAAGCUAAAUACUGGCCAGAGACCGAUAGCGCACAAGUAGAGUGAUCGAAAGAUGAAAAGCACUUUGGAAAGAGAGUUAAAAAGCACGUGAAAUUGUUGAAAGGGAAGCGCUUGCAGCCAGACUUGCCUGUAGUUGCUCAUCCGGGUUUUUACCCGGUGCACUCUUCUAUAGGCAGGCCAGCAUCAGUUUGGGCGGUUGGAUAAAGGUCUCUGUCAUGUACCUCCUUUCGGGGAGAACUUAUAGGGGAGACGACAUGCAACCAGCCUGGACUGAGGUCCGCGCAUCUGCUAGGAUGCUGGCGUAAUGGCUG
rnacentral:rRNA from 1 species